CGGCGUGCUUAACACAUGCAAGUCGAACGAGGGAAUUCUUUUCGGAGAGUAUACCGAGUGGCAAACGGGUGAGUAACGCGUAGGCAACCUGCCUUCAAGAUGGGGACAACAGUCCGAAAGGGCUGCUAAUACCGAAUGACAUGUCUGAACCGCAUGGGACGGACAGCAAAGACGGCCUCCAAACUAUGCUGUCGCUUCAGGAUGGACUCGCGUCCAAUUAGCUAGUUGGUGAGGUAACGGCCCACCAAGGCGACGAUUGGUAGCCGGACUGAGAGGUUGAACGGCCACAUUGGGACUGAGACACGGCCCAGACUCCUACGGGAGGCAGCAGUGGGGGAUAUUGCACAAUGGGGGAAACCCUGACCCAGCAACGCCGCGUGAGGGAAGACGGUCCUACGGAUUGUAAACCUCUUUUGUCGGGGAGUAACGUGCGGGACGCGUCCCGUAUUGAGAGUACCCGAAGAAAAAGCAUCGGCUAACUCCGUG
rnacentral:rRNA from 1 species